rnacentral:rRNA from 1 species
GCAGAGCAUCCUACGGGAGGCAGCAGUGGGGAAUAUUGCACAAUGGGCGCAAGCCUGAUGCAGCCAUGCCGCGUGUAUUGAAGAAGGCCUUCGGGUUGUAAAGUACUUUCAGCAGUGAGGAAGGUGGGUAUGUUAAUAGCAUAUUCAUUUGACGUUAGCUGCAGAAGAAGCACCGGCUAACUCCGUGCCAGCAGCCGCGGUAAUACGGAGGGUGCGAGCGUUAAUCGGAAUUACUGGGCGUAAAGCGCAUGCAGGUGGUUUGUUAAGUCAGAUGUGAAAGCCCGGGGCUCAACCUCGGAAUUGCAUUUGAAACUGGCAAACUAGAGUACUGUAGAGGGGGUAGAAUUUCAGGUGUAGCGGUGAAAUGCGUAGAGAUCUGAAGGAAUACCGGUGGCGAAGGCGGCCCCCUGGACAGAUACUGACACUCAGAUGCGAAAGCGUGGGGAGCAAACAGGAUUAGAUACCCUGGUAG